UGAUCGUCAGUUUUUGGAAAUCCUCUGCAUAUCUUCGAAGUAAAGUAUGUUAUUUCACGAUCAUGCUGCUAUCGUGCUUCGACUUCCUUGUGAUCGUAACGAGUCAUCCCUUAAUUAUCGUCUAUUUAGUCUCCGCGUUAAAUGAAGAGGACCAUUUAUUAACUGAGAGCAGGAUUUACUGGCGUAUCUCAAACUUGUUCGUCGGCCUUUCUAUCAUCGCUCUUCUGGUAAUGACUAUUGAACGAUAUCUGGGAGCAUACUAUCCUAUCUUUCAUCGAACAUCAGUGACCAGACGCAGACUGCUAACACUCCUCGCAGUAUUAUUCAUUCUGCCAUUUAUCUUAAUAGUGAUGUAUCUAAACGACUUAAUUUCCUUGCCAGUGGGUUUAGUCAUUUUCUUCGCCAUUAUAUUUCCACCAAUUAUUUUCCUCAACUACAAAAUGUUUAAGAUUUCCAGAAAAAUGCGACGCGACAACACAGCAUCACCCGAGGAAUCAACCUUAUCAACCUUGCAUGUUAAUUUAAAGAACAUUCAUACCUGUUUGUUGGCAGUUGCCUGUCUCAUGUUGAUCUACACUCCUGCUUUCUUCUUCAUUGCGUUUAACUUCGCUGAGAAAUCGACGUCAAAAAAAACGACCGUGUCUCAAUUUUGGGCUGGUACUAUAGCUGCUACGAAUUCCACAUUGAACUGUGUGAUCUUUUUCUGGAAGAAUGAUGUUUUGCGCAGAGAAGGAAAAAAGGUAUUGAAGACUUUGAAAAACCGUCUUUUCCCAUGCUAAAGUUGACCAAGCUUAAAUGAUCAAUGUUUUUGACACUAGUUCCGUAAAACGAAUUGUUCAUCAGGACAUAUAACAUGCACGUCUGUCGUUUGUAGGUUAAGGAUAAAAAAUCAGCCAAGUUUGGCGAGGUUAUUUUAUUAGAAAACAGUUGAAUAGAAUUGUAGCUAAUAAUAAUCACUGAAUGUUUUCAUACUACUGUCCCUAUUUAGUCUAUGCAAAUAAUAUGAGUGUG